rnacentral:rRNA from 2 species
UAAAACUUUCAACAACGGAUCUCUUGGCUCUGGCAUCGAUGAAGAACGCAGCGAAACGCGAUAAGUAAUGUGAAUUGCAGAAUCCAGUGAAUCAUCGAAUCUUUGAACGCACAUUGCGCCCGCCAGCAUUCUGGCGGGCAUGCCUGUUCGAGC